CGGCUACAUCAUGUUGAAUCACUGGUUCCCGUACGAUCACCGACGUAAAGCAACGUCAAGCUUGGUCAGUACCUAGAUGGGUGACCGCUUGGGAAUAUCAGGUGUUGUAAG